UACGUAGGGCGCAAGCGUUGUCCGGAAUUAUUGGGCGUAAAGAGCUCGUAGGCGGCUUGUCACGUCGGGUGUGAAAGCCCGGGGCUUAACCCCGGGUCUGCAUUCGAUACGGGCUAGCUAGAGUGCAGAAAGGGCAAUCGGAAUUCUUGGUGUAGCGGUGAAAUGCGUAGAUAUCAAGAGGAACACCUGAGGCGAAGGCGGGUUGCUAGGCUGACACUGACGCUGAGUGCGCGAAAGCCAGGGGAGCAAACGGG
rnacentral:rRNA from 1 species